rnacentral:rRNA from 1 species
CCCUUAGAUGUCCUGGGCCGCACGCGUGCUACACUGAUGCAUACAGCGAGUACUUUCCAGCUCCGCGAGGCAGCUGGUAAUCAGCAAUAUGCAUCGUGCUGGGGAUAGAUCUUUGGAAUUAUAGAUCUUGAACGAGGAAUUCCUAGUAAGCGCAAGUCAUUAGCUUGCGCUGAUUAAGUCCCUGCCCUUUGUACACACCGCCCGUCGCUCCUACCGAUUUCGAGUGAUUCGGUGAACCUCUUGGACAGCGUCUGUCCUCGUGUCAGAUGCUGAAAGUCAAGUAAACCAUAUCACUUAGAGGAAGGAGAAGUCGUAACA